CAUGAGCAAUUCUGUUUCCUCUUCAAUCUGCGAUGCAGAAAGGGGUGCGGGUUGCAAAGGGAGUAGCCUCUGUUUUUUUGUUACUUAAGCAUGGGAAGUUGGAGUUUUCCUUUUGAUUCAUUUCUAGGAAGUCGGUGCAAACUGGCCCUGCCUCCAGACCCUAUUCUCCAGCAUGAAUUGCAUCUCAUCAAUGUCAUUUUCACUUUUGAUGAUGAAGGCUGAUUACCUUGUAGAGAGAGAAGUCAUAGGGAUGUUAUGUCCAUGGAGCGUGGCCUUAAGUGGACCUAUUUCUUGGGGUCUCCAGAUCUGUUUGGAACUUCAAAAUUAUUCAAGAAAAGGUGUCUCAUCAGCAGAAGACUGAACAGUUUUACCUAAUGGUAUCUUGAGUAGAAAUGUAACCUAGAAGAGUUUAUUGAAAAUCCUCCUGGCUGAUGCUUAUUUCUUGGAAUCCUGAGUCUUACACUUGCUACCUAAUAAAAAGAAGGAAGAUUCUUCUCAGCAAGGUGAGAAAACAGGCUGAGAGAAGUUGGAAGAAACACAGGAGCAGGGAUCCCACAUUAGACAGUCUGAUUCCAGAGAUCAGGACCUUGGCUGCAACACUA
rnacentral:lncRNA from 1 species